AUCCAGCUGACGAGUCCCAAUUUGGAUGAGAUGCGCGUCAAACUGGAU
rfam:Schistosoma mattheei strain Denwood, Zambia genome assembly, scaffold: SMTD_scaffold0007257